GAUGAACGCUAGCGGCAGGCCUAAUACAUGCAAGUCGAACGGGAUCAGGGAGCUUGCUCCCUGUGAGAGUGGCGCACGGGUGCGUAACACGUAUGCAACCUACCUUCAACUGGGGGAUAGCCUUCCGAAAGGAAGAUUAAUACCGCAUAACAUAAUUGAAUGGCAUCAUUUGAUUAUCAAACGUCAGGGUUGAAGAUGGGCAUGCGUCCGAUUAGCUAGUUGGUGUGGUAACGGCACACCAAGGCGACGAUCGGUAGGGGAUCUGAAAGGAUGACCCCCCACACUGGUACUGAGACACGGACCAGACUCCGACGGGAGGCAGCAGUAAGGAAUAUUGGUCAAUGGACGCAAGUCUGAACCAGCCAUGCCGCGUGCAGGAAGACGGUCCUCUGGAUUGUAAACUGCUUUUGUUAGGGAAGAAACCCUCGGAUGCGUCCGGGGCUGACGGUACCUAAAGAAUAAGGAUCGGCUAACUCCGUGCCAGCAGCCGCCGCAGUAA
rnacentral:rRNA from 1 species